UCGAGGAUCUUCGGCAAUGGGCGCAAGCCUGACCGAGCGACGCCGCGUGCGCGAUGAAGGCCUUCGGGUUGUAAAGCGCUGUCGUGGGGGAGAAAAGCCCGCAAGGGUUUGAUCUAUCCCAGGAGGAAGCACGGGCUAAGUUCGUGCCAGCAGCCGCGGUAAGACGAACCGUGCAAACGUUGUUCGGAAUCACUGGGCUUAAAGGGCGCGUAGGCGGGCUAGCCAGUCCGGGGUGAAAUCUUUCGGCUUAACCGGAAAAGUGCCUCGGAUACUGCUAGUCUGGAGGAAGGUAGGGGCAGGUGGAACUUCUGGUGGAGCGGUGAAAUGCGUUGAUAUCAGAAGGAACGCCGGUGGCGAAAGCGACCUGCUGGACCUUUUCUGACGCUGAGGCGCGAAAGCUAGGGGAGCAAACGG
rnacentral:rRNA from 1 species